GCCUGGGUGGCUUAGUCAGUUAAGCAUCCGACUUCAGCUCAGGUCAUGAUCUCGGGGUCUGUGAGUUUGAGCCCCACUUUGGGCU
rfam:Felis catus isolate Cinnamon breed Abyssinian chromosome A1, whole genome shotgun sequence.